AUCCGACAGUUGCUGCAGCUGCACAGAGACUGUGCUCACACAGAACCUCUCUCAGGGACAGCAAGAGCAAGGAAGAAAGCAGGAACAGGAAUCCUCAUCUGUAGAUCAGGAGAUGGCCAGAUCUUUUCCUGAGUUUUUCACAAGGAAAUGUUACCUUGGAACACAGCAUCUAAAAAAACCUGGAGGCCUUUUAGUUUCUAUGCAUACUUGUUAAACAUUAAUUCAGAGACAACCCCAACCUCAUCUGAGGAAAUUGAACUUACCCAGGCAGGACUUGGAAAAAGACAUCUCACCAUGUCCUGGGAUAUGAGCCAUGAAGAGUUCCUCAGAGUACUACAGAAUGAGUAUCCUAAGAUGCAGGGACUGACAGGAGGAUGGCUACUCUACAAGGGUACAGGUGGUUAGGGUAAAAGGAGACUGAUUAUGAUUCCUCCCAAUUCUGAUGGAUACACUGGGACACUAAUUCGCACAGUUACAGGGGCAGGAAAAAAAAC